rnacentral:rRNA from 1 species
GACGAACGCUGGCGGCGUGCUUAACACAUGCAAGUCGAACGGAAAGGCCCUGCUUUUGUGGGGUGCUCGAGUGGCGAACGGGUGAGUAACACGUGAGUAACCUGCCCUUGACUUUGGGAUAACUUCAGGAAACUGGGGCUAAUACCGGAUAGGAGCUCCUGCUGCAUGGUGGGGGGUGGAAAGUUUCGGCGGUUGGGGAUGGACUCGCGGCUUAUCAGCUUGUUGGUGGGGUAGUGGCUUACCAAGGCUUUGACGGGUAGCCGGCCUGAGAGGGUGGCCGGCCACAUUGGGACUGAGGUACGGCCCAGACUCCUACGGGAGGCAGCAGUGGGGAAUAUUGCACAAUGGGCGGAAGCCUGAUGCAGCAACGCCGCGUGCGGGAUGACGGCCUUCGGGUUGUGAACCGCUUUCGCCUGUGACGAAGCGUGAGUGACGGUAAUGGGUAAAGAAGCACCGGCUAACUACGUG